CAGAUAAUUUCCCCAGCUUCCUCCCGGCCCCCCUCUCUCCCCGUCAGAUAUGCUGCGGGGCCACAGCUAGCGGGAGGAGCUAUUUUUAGACCGCUGAUGCCGUAGAACAUUUUCUUAGAUUGGCGUCCGGGGAGAAGAGUCUAUUCUCUGCCCGGCUGCUACGGCGUGAAUACAAAUUUCCCCAUCAACCAGCUGCAUCCCUGAGCAAGAGAGAGAGAGAGAGACCAACUGGCUCGUGGAUGCUUUGGAGGAGAUGGAAGCAACAGGACCAGUAAUAUUUCAUUAAUAUGGAUGGCACCGGCGACAGACAAGCCUGGAUGAGCAAAAUGCCUUGUUCAGCAGACUUCGGACUUGGACUGAACACAGCUUUUGGGUCCUUGAGGCCACUGGGCCUUUGCAAGGCUUGACAAGGGAAUGGCGUCAACCCCUCCUUUCCCUCCCCGCUUCCCCGCAAAUGAAAAUGAAUUUUCAUUUUGCCCUGUUGGCCAGAGGCAAGUUAAGAGGAUUCACAGGGUCAUCCGCUAGACUGUAAAUUCCCAGAGGGCAUGGAUUAGGUCUAGUAACUCUUCUGUGCUUUCCCCAGUGCUCGAUACAGUGCUCUGCACACAGGAGGCUGUAGCUUCUAGAAGGCAGGCUCGAUCGACAGGAUCAUGCUUUGGUCUCCUGGCUGAGAAAGAUCAUCUCUUGGCUUCUGAUCCAAGUUAUAUUCAUGAACUUUUGGGCAAAAUUUAAAAACGCACUACCAGGAUUUAAAACCUUUUUUCGGAAUGGUAUCCGUUAAGUGCUUACUAUUUGCCAGGGGCUUUACUAAGCACCGGGGUAGAUACAAGAUAACAGUGCUUAGAACAGUGCCUGGCACAGGAUAAAUGCCAUAAAAAAAUAUUCAGGCCCAGGACCCCAAAAUAUUUUCUCCCAAACAUGCUAAGCUGGGGCUCAAUUCAGACAGGGAAUUCCACUCCCAAUCCUUCCUUCCGGGAGUGCUUUCGGGAUUCAGAAUGCAGUUCAUUUAUCUUGUUACAAUGAUUUCUCGCUCAGAUGGUUUCCGAUUAGAAGCUUAGUUACAAUUAUGUAAACCCAGGGGGGAACGUUAAAACUAUUGCUAUUGUUGGAUUUCUUUUUUAUCUAAAGAGAACAUGGCAUUUGCAUGAUGUUAGCCCAAGAGUUCAUUUUAAAGACAGUUUGGGGUUCAUUCAUACCUUGAGGUGCACCGCCCGUAUUAAUAAACAUUCUGGAAACUCAAAAAGGAAAAA